rnacentral:rRNA from 1 species
UUUAUGGAGAGUUUGAUCCUGGCUCAGGAUGAACGCUGGCGGCGUGCCUAAUACAUGCAAGUCGAGCGAACAGACGAGGAGCUUGCUCCUUUGACGUUAGCGGCGGACGGGUGAGUAACACGUGGGUAACCUACCUAUAAGACUGGGAUAACUUCGGGAAACCGGAGCUAAUACCGGAUAAUAUUUCGAACCGCAUGGUUCGAUAGUGAAAGAUGGCUUUGCUAUCACUUAUAGAUGGACCUGCGCCGUAUUAGCUAGUUGGUAAGGUAACGGCUUACCAAGGCAACGAUACGUAGCCGACCUGAGAGGGUGAUCGGCCACACUGGAACUGAGACACGGUCCACGGU